rnacentral:rRNA from 1 species
GAUGAACGCUGGCGGCGUGCCUAAUACAUGCAAGUCGAGCGAACGGACGAGAAGCUUGCUUCUCUGAUGUUAGCGGCGGACGGGUGAGUAACACGUGGAUAACCUACCUAUAAGACUGGGAUAACUUCGGGAAACCGUAGCUAAUACCGGAUAAUAUUUUGAACCGCAUGGUUCAAAAGUGAAAGACGGUCUUGCUGUCACUUAUAGAUGGAUCCGCGCUGCAUUAGCUAGUUGGUAAGGUAACGGCUUACCAAGGCAACGAUGCAUAGCCGACCUGAGAGGGUGAUCGGCCACACUGGAACUGAGACACGGUCCAGACUCCUACGGGAGGCAGCAGUAGAGAAUCUUCCGCAAUGGGCGAAAGCCUGACGGAGCAACGACGCGUGAGUGAUGAAGGUCUUCGGAUCGUAAAACUCUGUUAUUAGGGAAGAACAUAUGUGUAAGUAACUGUGCACAUCUUGACGGUACCUAAUCAGAAAGCCACGGCUAACUACGUG